rnacentral:rRNA from 1 species
GCAUCGUUUCGUGAGAUGUUGGGUUAAGUCCCGUAACGAGCGCAACCCUUUGUCAUUUAGUUACCAGCACGUUAAGGUGGGCACUCGUAAGGAGAUCUCNCGUGUGUAAAUACCGGAGGAAGGUGUAUGGAUGUACGUCAAGUCCUCAUGGCCGAUUUAUGUCCAGGGCUACUACACGUGGUCUACAAUGGCCGGUACAAAGGGUAGUCGAGACCUGCAAGGUUGAGUCAGAAUCCCUAUAAGCUGGUCUCAGUUCGGAUUGGAGUCGUGCAACUCGACUCCAUGAAGUUGGAAUCGCUAGUAAUCGCGAUCAGCAUGCCNGCGGUGAAUACGUUCCC